CCUGGCUCAGAUUGAACGCUGGCGGCAUGCUUUACACAUGCAAGUCGAACGGCAGCACGAAAGAGCUUGCUCUUUUGGUGGCGAGUGGCGAACGGGUGAGUAAUACAUUGGAACGUACCGAGUAAUGGGGGAUAACUGUCCGAAAGGAUGGCUAAUACCGCAUACGCUCUGAGGAGGAAAGCGGGGGACCUUCGGGCCUCGCGUUAUUCGAGCGGCCAAUGUCUGAUUAGCUAGUUGGUGGGGUAAAGGCCUACCAAGGCGACGAUCAGUAGUGGGUCUGAGAGGAUGAUCCNCCACACUGGGACUGAGACACGGCCCAGACUCCUACGGGAGGCAGCAGUGGGGAAUUUUGGACAAUGGGCGAAAGCCUGAUCCAGCCAUGCCGCGUGUCUGAAGAAGGCCUUCGGGUUGUAAAGGACUUUUGUCAGGGAAGAAAGGGUU
rnacentral:rRNA from 1 species